rnacentral:rRNA from 1 species
UACGAGGGGGGCGAGCGUUGUUCGGAAUUAUUGGGCGUAAAGGGUGCGUAGGCGGUUUGGCAAGUCUUGUGUGAAAACUUCGGGCUCAACUCGAAGCCUGCACAGGAAACUGCCGGACUAGAGUGUGGGAGAGGUGAGUGGAAUUCCCGGUGUAGCGGUGAAAAUGCGUAGAUAUCGGGAGGAACACCAGUGGCGAAAGCGGCUCACUGGACCACAACUGAACGCUGAUGCACGAAAGCUAGGGGAGCAAACAGG